GACGAACGCUGGCGGCGUGCUUAACACAUGCAAGUCGAACGGAAAGGCCCCCAUCUUGGUGGGGGUGCUCGAGUGGCGAACGGGUGAGUAACACGUGGGUGAUCUGCCCUGUACUUCGGGAUAAGCUUGGGAAACUGGGUCUAAUACCGGAUAGGACCAUGGUUUAGUGUCUCAUGGUGGAAAGAUUAUUGUUUUGGUGCAGGAUGAGCUCGCGGCCUAUCAGCUUGUUGGUGGGGUAAUGGCCUACCAAGGCGUCGACGGGUAGCCGGCCUGAGAGGGUGGACGGCCACAUUGGGACUGAGAUACGGCCCAGACGCCUACGGGAGGCAGCAGUGGGGAAUAUUGCACAAUGGGCGCAAGCCUGAUGCAGCGACGCCGCGUGGGGGAUGACGGCCUUCGGGUUGUAAACUCCUUUCGUUAGGGACGAAGCCGCACUUUUUUUGGGUGUGGUGACGGUACCUUUGUUAAGAAGCACCGGCUAACUACGUG
rnacentral:rRNA from 1 species